rnacentral:rRNA from 1 species
CCCUUAGAUGUUCUGGGCCGCACGCGCGCUACACUGAUGCAUUCAACGAGUCUAAAACCUGGUCUGAUAGGGCUGGGUAAUCUUUUGAAAGUGCAUCGUGAUUGGGAUAGAUGAUUGCAAUUCUUCAUCUUCAACGAGGAAUGCCUAGUAAACGCAAGUCAUCAGCUUGCAUUGAUUACGUCCCUGCCCUUUGUACACACCGUCCGUCGCUCCUACCGAUUGAAUGAUCCGAUGAAUACCAUGGAUUGAGAGUACGAAUGGGUUCGCUCAUUUCUGCUGCUCGAGAAGUGGAGUAAAUCUUAUCAUUUAGAGGAAGGAGAAGUCGUAACA